GCCACUCUUCCAUUAUAGGGGUGAGUGACGCUGACUUCGGCAUUGUAGGGCCUGGGUUCGAAUCCCGGAGAAGGCA